rnacentral:misc_RNA from 1 species
UUUCUAACAUGUUUCAACACUUUUUCCCUCUGGAAUUGUUGAAGAAUCAUUUAUGGCAGCCGUGGACCAAUUUCUUCAAGAUAGACAGCACCUCAGCCAUCUUCUUAAGGAGAAUUUGCAAAAACCUCAGAAUAGAAUGAGACAGCAAGUUGACAAGAAUAGAACAGAGAGAGAAUUUGCAGUAAGGGAUUUGGUUUAUUUGAAGCUUUAGCCUUAUAGGUAAGCUUCAGUGGUUGUGAGACAAUCUCUUAAGCUAUCUGCUAGUAUUAUGGCCCUUUUGAAGUAUUAGCAAAGGUGGGACUAGCUUAUAAGUUAGCCUUACCUGCAUCUUCAUCUAUC